rnacentral:lncRNA from 1 species
UUUUUUUUUUUUUUUUUUGAGUUACAUUUUGAUAGUUACCAAUUAAUGUAUAGCUUAACAGAGAGAUGCAUUAAACAAAUAAUUUAUCAAGAGAAAUUAAAUGAUAUCCACACAUCCCUUUAAUCCUUUUAUACACACUUGUUUAUUUUUGUUCAUUAAAUAAGUACUCAACCUAUUGAAAAUGUAAUAUAUGUUAAGCCCCAGUUAAUUUAUUCUAUUAAAUAUACAUGUGGCAACAAUCGAUCCCAAUCUUUAGCUUACUUGGACACCAUAAUAAUAAUAAUAAUAAUAAUAACAUUAAAAAAGACAUGAAGAUGAAAAUGAAUACACAAAUUCACAAGUAAAAUGGAAAAAUGAAGAUUGGGAAAUAUCAAGCCCACACCACCUCCAAACUCAACCCACAACCACUAAAACCCCCAACCUUUAUAUUCAAAAUCCACCAACUAGAUGUAUCAUGAUCAACGUUAAUAUUAGUUGCCUCAAAAUCUAAAUUUUAAAUACGACACGCCCCGACCUCGAUGUCCUCGGGACAUCAGGAUGGUCACGUGCUGGCCGACACUCGAAGGGUGACGAAAGCCAUUUAAUUUAAGUAAAAGCUAAGAAAUAUGCUAAAACGGGCAAUAGGAACUAAUAAUACCAAACUAACGUCCAACUGCUAAUUAAUAAAAUUAUGGUCAUAUACAUAAGUUCAGAGCAUAAGUCUAUUACAGAGUAUAAGCGGAACUUAAGACAGAGAAGUGCUAUAUUACAAUAGGUGCAGAAGCAAAGAAUAUAUAGCACUGAAUCACUGGUAGGGAAAUGCCUCGUAGCUCAUGUCAUAAUCCUCGUUCAUAGGUCCUGAAGGGGGCGCAAAACAAACGUGAGUGGACUAAUUUGAUAUAUAUAUAUAUAUAUAUAUAUAUAUAUAUAUAUAACAGUUAUCAACAUACUAACCCCUAAGUUUAUGAAAAUACAUAUAUAAUGAAAAACAUAGGUUUUCCGAAACCUAGCAUGUUGUGCAAUGUUUCAAAAUAUAACUUGUAUAUAUAAUAAUCACUGGUGAGUGUCUGAUAACCCCCAGGCCCUAUGCCGGCUCCCCGUCUCUGAGCAGACAGUCAGAGGAAAAUACAUUUCAGGCCCCAUGCCAACUCCCCGUCCCUAUGCUAAAUAGCCAAAGGAAACACACUCUAGGCCCUAUGCCAACACCAAACCAUCGCCCGGGACGGACUGGAAUCUAUCCCUACGUCUCGUAGCGAAAAGGACCACUAAGUAAGUACAAAACCAUUAACAUAUUUAUAUUGAAAAACAACUUCAUAGUAUAAAGUCAUCCAUCAUCUAUACUAUAAAGAGGUGUUCUAAACAUGUUCUAAGUAUCAUAUCAUCAUCCAUCAGAUAUUUUAUAAGAACAUGGGUUAUAUGAAAAAUAGUAGUAAUUUAAUCUAGCCUCAGUAAACAUGUUAUAUUACAAAACAUUUCAUAAAACAUAACAUUAAAUCAUGCUUUUCAUGUAUGUAUUUCUACUAUUAAAACAUUCUUUUGAAGGGGUCCACUCAUCAUACAUCGAUGGUGCAAAGCUAUACCAAAAAGGAAUAACAGAAUCACCAUUAAUAAUUGCACCUAUUCACAUGAAGGAGUACCUUUAGUCAAACUCUAAUCAAACAAUUGAAUUUAGGAAAACGAAAUUUAAAAACGGGUCCAAAACGUCGAAAUUAGCCCAAGAGAGGUCCCAGACGAAACCCUGAAAAGUCAACUCCAAAAGUCAACGUUGACUGUUGAUCGGUCAAAGUCAAAGUCAAAGUCAACGGUCAAUUGGGUCAAACGGUCAAAGGUCAGACUGGCUUGGAUUUGGGUUGGGCCGAUUAGGCCCUAAGGGUUUUGGGUCUAAAGGGUUAAUAGGUGGGAUAAGUUAUAAGGGAAAUGGGUUAGGAGCUCUCUAGGCUCAGGCCCAGACCUACACGGCCCGAGGGCCUCAUUAUAAAGAGUUUAGGGGGAUUGGGCUUAAGCCCCUUAAAAGAAAAUGGACCAAAGGGCCCUAUUUAAAUAAAACAAAAGCUAAAUAGGUUUUAGGUUGGGUCAACGGGCCACAGGCCCUAAACAAAACGGUCCAAAGGCCUUUUGGGUUAUAAAGAAAUAAAACAAAAACAAAAUAAAAUAAAAAGGAAAUGGGUUAGGGUUUUGGGUUGAGCUCACCACGAGCCUAAAGCCCGAGUGCCUUAGCAGCUUAAAAGGCCUGGUGCACCGAAGAAGAACGCUGGAGCUUUCCCAGCUCCGACCGACUGCAAACAACAACCCUAGACUCCGAUCUAGGUGCCAAAAUGAAACACAAGACGAGAGGAACAACUUUAUACCUUCCUUUUGCCGUAGAAUAACCGGAGAUGACCGAAAAUUCCCUCAACACCCACGGCCUUGCAGGAGCUGGGUGUGCCUUCCCCUGACUCGAUUUCGUUCUAAAACUUCGACAACAACGCAAUAAACCCAUUCAAAACACAUUCACGUAUGAUUCUAGGACGAAAUAGGAAGAACUCGAAGCUUACCUAACCGGAGAAAUAGGAAAUCUCGCCGGAGAUCGUUUUUUGGGUUUUGUCUUUGUACCACAGGAAAUAAAGAGAGCUGAUGAAGGAUUGAUGAUGAUGGUGUCUUCCUCGCAGGUGAUGCAGCUGGAUGUGUGUGUGUGUGUGUGUUCACGGUGCAAGAGAGGGAGAGAAAGAUGAGGGUUUCGAGAGGGAGAGAGAAGAGAGAAAAAGAAGAAGAUGAAGUCACGGGAGGGGUAGGGGACAGAGAGAGAAAUGUGAGAUUGUUAAGGUGUUGCCACGUGGCAGCUUAAGAAUAAAGAGAAUCAAAGUUUUAGAUCCUGAUAGGGUGAUAGAAUUAGGACUAAAUUGAUAGAUUAAUAACAGGUUUGGGGAUAAUUACCUAAUUAUAUUAUCUAUAAAUGAAGGUGGGUGUAACAAAAUAUGUAUUAUAUAAUAUGGAACCCAAUGAUCAAACGAGUAUUGAAUUGAAUAAAAUAUGGACUAAAAUUGAAAUUACAUAAAGAUGGCAAUCUCCUAACAAAGAAGAGGAUUAAGAAUUCAGAUAAGAUUUCAAAGAGCUUGUUUUUGUUCUUGUGAUUUUUUCAUCGCCAGAAUCCAGAUAAGAUUCCAAAGAGCGUGUUUCUACUCUUGUGAUUUUUUCAUCACCAAUGCUCAUCUUGUAAAACUUCCAGUUCUUCUUUAUGGGCAGUAAAGAUGGUGCUGAGAGCAUCAUGUUAGUCCAUAUCAUUUCAGCAACCUCCAUGACCUUCUUCUUGAUGUUAGCGACUUAAGUUUUAGGGUGGAGUUAAGGGUUGUGCGUUGGGUUUGGAGGUGAUAGCCUAAUAGGGGUAAUGGGGAUCAAUAGUUGGUGGAGGCCAAGCUUCCAAGACAUUCUAUUGAUUUUGGAAACUAAAUAAAACCUAGUUAAUUUUACAUAAAUUUAAUUGGGGCUUAACGAAUGUGACAUUUUCAAUAGGUUGGGUAUUUAUUUGGAAUAUUUAAAAAGGUUGAGACAAAUUUGAAAUGACAAUAAAAGUUUGAGAGGUUUUAGGUACUUAAUCCUCGAUUUCUUUUUAUUUAUUCAUCAAAUGGCUAGCUAGAAAUAUGUAGGGAGAGAAGAUGAUUGUGUGAAAAUCAUUUUCCUUUAUCUAUACAUAUAAAGCCAGAAGGCAAAAACAAAAAUGAUAGCAUAAAUCAAUUAGAAUGAAAAACUCCAAAUUAGGAUAAAAUUAGGUCGAUAAUGCUUAAUUUCUAUUGCAUAUGGCAUAAGAUAAUGGUGGGGUGGUGUUAGCAAAAUGCAAGUGAAAAAUGUAUUUCAUUAGAGUGAGUUAUUAUAUAUGUGAGGUUUUUAUUUGGAAAUUGAUAUUACAUGUACCCUUUUGUGGCAAACCAUGAGAAUGAGGGUAUCCGCCUUGGCAAACGAGUUGUGUUUGCCGUGUUUGGAUCAUGUUUGUUGUGUUCGUGUAACACCUAUUAUCUUAACGGAUCAUCUUGUGUCACACCCACUAUUUUAAAGGGUAAAAUGACUCGACCUGUUAAGAAAAAUAUUUUUUUUCUUUCUAAAUUUGCAAAUGCCAGAUCGCCACAUAAAUAUUACUUCAAAACACAAAAACGCAAUUGUCGUUAAGUGCUAUAUAUAUCUACAUACUCCAUAAUAAGAACCUAAUAAAAAAGUAUCAAUACACUACUAGUAUACUACAAAAUAUAAAAUAUGCAAGGAUAUGCAAAAUGAAGGAGUUUUUCUUUUCAAGGUUGUGAAACCUUUCUAAGAAGUUAAAACCUUCACAAUGAAACUCAAAGCUUGCAUGUCGUUCUUUUUACAAAAUCCUUCUAGUUUCAUCGAUCAUCAUGGAGAAAUUGUAUUGGAACUUUGGCUUGAUCUAUUGUCUUCAAGAGUUAUAUUGAUGAUGUUUUCGGUAAGGCUUUCCACAUCAAAACUCUCUUCCACAUAAACCAAGUAUAGAAAAUCAAACAUUAUAAACCAUUCAAAUUAUGAGAAGUUUACCAAAUAUAAUUAUAAAAAGAAAUAAAACAAUAAUACUAUACCAUAUAAAAAUAUAUUACCUCAUUUUCCAAAUAGCUAAUCUCGUUGCACAACAAAGCUUGAAAUGUUUCUGACAACAAUAAACUACGAUACUAAUCUAGUCUACCCCCAAUACUAAAUGCAAAUUCUGACGCAACAGUUGAAUGAGAAUUGUUAACACAUCUCGUGCUAACUGAGAAAGUAUCAGAUAAUGAAAACACUCGAUUUGUCACUAAGAAAGAACAUCUAUGUCUAAUUUUCUAACUAUUCUUUUAUCCUCCAAAUACUUCUGCAAUUCACUUUUUUCAAUCAAACUUGAACUAUUGUAAUUAUUAUCAAAAUUCUACAUUAUAAAAAAUAAAAAGAAAACAUAAUAAGAAUCAUGCAUCAUGCCAAUUUCAAAUGUAAUAUCAACACUUUUUACAAUACUAGUUAUAUGUUUUUACAAUACUAGUUAUAUGUAUAAAGUAAGACAAAAACAAACUUAGGUUACCUGAAAGAGAACAUCUCCACCUUUUGUUUGAUGAUUAGGCACCAAAUGCACUGGAGUGUUUGAAUUAUCAAGACAAGAAAUAUUAAAUUAAUAUUUUUAGAGGUAUAAAAUCCUACUACUGUUAAGUAUAGUAUUAUGCUUCGUGGUAUAAAAUUAUUAAUUUAAUAUAUUUUUUUUGUGUAACGGGUUAUUCACGUGUAUACAUGAACUGGCCUAUUAUUUUAACAAGUGCUUAUUAGAUUACCAGAUUCGUUAUUAUGUCAACCUGAAAACUUGUUAAUUUCGUGUCAUUUCAUGUCGUGUUAACAGAUCGUAUAAAAAAUUGUAAGCCCGUGUGGUGGCUCCGUCCCUGUUUGAGAGAACUAAAAUCACACAUGAAAGGUGUUUUUCAAUAAAAUCACUUUCUUUUUUUUUGUUUCUUUUCUUUUUUUGUCGAAACAAUAAAAUCACUUUCAAACCUUAGAUAUUUUCUAGGUUAAAGUCAAGACCCCGAGUUUUAGAAGUGACUAUCAAAUUGAUAACCAUUGACAAAAAUAGCUCCCACGAAAAAGGGGUUGGCAGAAAACCUGGGGGCUAUUGCGGUCAAGUUUGAAGUUGAAAAGCCAAAUGGCCUAAAAACACGAUAGCAAUAAUAUUGGAAAAUAUGCAGCAAGUCAUGCCUAACUUUCCGGCUGAGCCAUUCGUCAGGGAAGUAGCAGCAUCCUUAUAGAAGGCUCACACUACAUUGGAAAUUUAGAAUACAAACCAACAUUUGUUUAAUCACAUUCAAGUCUCUCUGUUGAAAGAGUGGCAUGAAAUAAUAAACGUGCUUCUUCAAGUCAUCACCCUCUUCAUUGUCAAUUACUCAAACUGAUCUUCAUAAGUUUGAUUAAUUUUUGCUCAAGUAUCACCUGAAUUUGUAAGCAUAUACGAUAAUACCACAACUUUCAUUUUUUAUUUUUUUACCAUCUGGACACUCUUAACUUUUUUUUUUUUUGAAAUCUAUCACCUAAGUUAUUUUCCAUCCAUUUUACCAUUAAAACAUGCCACAUAUAGAGAUAUUUUCGCCAAUUAACUCAUGGGCGGGCUAGAAUCAAAUUUACUCCCUAAUGAUGUCUAGGUCAAUAUGGUGCCAAAAUUGGUGGUUUGUACAACCCUAGUCCAUCAAUUCCCUCUAUAAGAGUUUGAAAAAUUAAUAUAUAUAUAUAAAUUAAGGUGAACCACGCAUCCACUUGUUGACCUAGAAAACAACUCUUGAAAGCUACUACAAAUGAAAGACAACAUUUUUGCAUAAUUUUCACUUCUAUUCUUCAACAACCCUCGCAAAAUCAAACUUGAAACCAACUUCUCCCUUUCUCUUCAUGAUCUGACUCCAACAACGCUACCAAAAAAAAUGUCUUUUGCCUUCAUACAAAUUGAUUCCAGCAAGCCUUAGGAAGUGAAUUGACAAAAAUAUCCCUCCACAUGAGAGGCACGUGACAUGUUUUAAUGGAAAAUUGGAUGGAAAAUAAUGUAGGUGAUAAAUUCCUACAGUUAAGAGAGUCCAUGUGGUAAAAAUAAAAAAUAAAAAGUUCAGUUGGAAUUGACGCACAUGCUUGCAAGUUUAGGUGAUACUUGUGCAAAAUCCCCUUAAUUUUUUCUUUAACUAAUUACCUAAUUUUUGGCACUUAAAAGUCCAAUUUUUGCUUGAAGCCGCCUUUGUAACGCACAAUUGGUCUUAGUCUAGAACCCAACUAAUUAAUUAUGAUUCAUGUUUGUACGCUCCUAUCAGAUUUCCUUAAUACUCUAUUUUACCGUUCUUAUUUAUUAGUUAUAAAAAUAAAAAAAAUAAAAAAAUAACUGUAAUAUUCAUUAAGGGAAGAAAAAAAUGUUCAACAUUAAGCCCAAAAUUUAAAAUAAAUUUGCAGCAAUCUUUCUAGGAAAUAAAAUUGAUAACUUUUUUAGUUAAAAUCUUCUAGAUGGACUAUAUGUGUGUUAUCUUAAGCAGACUGAGAUUGGAAGUAAAUUUAAAAAAUGUAAGAAGAACAUGAAUUAAUAAUAAAAUAUAACUAUUUGGACACAUAAAAUUAACACGGUUGUUGGCAUGUACACUCUUUAAUAGAGCCGGAAUUCACUUGUAUUGGAGCAUAUGUCAGCAAGUGUUAAUUCUGUGUUUGAAUAUCAUUGUCACAACAUUUAUAAGGGAAGUGUUAUUGGCACUCCAAAAAUCUCAUUCUACACUCCUCACAAGUGUAUUUUUCUUUCCUAAUAUAGAAAGUUUAGAGUGUAGAAUGAGAUUUUUGGAAUACUAAUAACAAUUCCCAUUUAUAAUAUGAUAAUAAAAUCAUAAUCGUAAUUAAUUCAAAGAGGCCAGUUUAGAUGCUAGUGGUCAACUUUAUAUUUAAUUCUUCCUACUCUCCUUUUCCAAGAAGAAAAGCAAACAAAUUCAACAGUAUUAGAACUUUCAAACUUUAUUAUGUAUAUUAGUCAAUAUAUAUGAUGCUGUUGGCUGUGAUGUAGAGUUUAGAAUACAUCAUUUUUCUCUCUCUGAAAACAGUUAUCUAGCCAUGCUGCCCAGAAAUGCUAUGUCUUUGAAGCUGUUAAUGGCGUUUAUGUAUGUAAGCGCAAUCGUUAAUCAUGUAGAAGGCUCGUACUCAGGUACAAACACUGGUACUUACCAUGACCAAAUGAGGCGCAUGGCUUUGAUGAAGGCAUCACAUACCAUCCGCAAUAAGGACUCAACGCCCCAAAGCUAUUCAACACCAACUCUAUAUGUAUGUUUACAUAUAUAUUUUGUUCUUUUAUUUUUGGUUUUAAUUAGUUUUAGUUUUUUUCCAAAUGAUCGAUGUAUGAUUUGUUCAUAUAUAUUGAUUCAGGCGUCCGCAGAAUCACGUGUACAUCACGUGACUGAGUAUGGUGCUGACCCAACCGGAAGAUCAGACAGCACAGAGGCACUACAGCAAGCUAUUUUACAUGCCUUUGGAUCUCCUCUUGAUGGUCACUUGAUCAAGGGUGUUGCUGACCUUGGAGGCACUCAAGUUCACCUUGAUGGAGGGACAUACAAGAUCAGCCGUCCGCUGCUCUUACCAGAUACCGGUGGUGGAAACUUUAUGGUACACCUCCUAACAUUUUUCUUCAACUAGAAUAACCUGAUGGUCGGAAUGCAUUAUGCUUAGAUGGGUUAGAGCCGUUGGUCAAGGCACACUAUUCGUUACCUUGCAACCAAAUUUGAAUAUCAUUCUGUCAUAUUUGAGUUUCGACUCCGUCAAAGCACGAUAUUGUCCGAUUUGGGCUUACAAUUCCCUCACAGUUUUGUUUAUGGGAACUCAUACGAGAACUUCUCAGCGGAUCACCCAUCCUAGGAAUGCUCUCGUCCGAACUCGUUUAACUUCGGAGUUCCGAUGGAAUCCGAAGCCAGUAAGGUUCCAAAAUGUCUCGUGCUAUAUGGAGGUGAGCAUGUACAUAUAAGGCAUAGAUGAUCCACUCUCCUGGGUGAUGUUAGAUCUAACAAUCUACCCCCCUUAGGGGCCCGACGUCCUCAUCGGCACACUUCUGACUAUAGAUUAGCUCUUAUACCAAAUUGUCACAUCCCAACCCGGGCUCCAUCACAUCCUAGGCUUGACUCCGCCGUAGCAUGAUAUUGUCCCAUUUGGGCUUACCAUUCCCUCACAGUUUUGUUUCUGGGAACUCAUACGAGAACUUCUCAGUGGGUCACCCAUCCUAGGAAUGCUCUCGCUCAAACUCGCUUAACUUCGGAGUUCCGAUGGAAUCUGGAGCCAGUGAGUUCCCAAAAUACCUCGUGCUAUAUAGAGGUGAGCAUGCACAUAUAAGGUAUAGAUGAUCCACUCCUCUGUGCGAUGUGGGAUCUAACACAUUCUCUGUAGAUUUAGUAGUUAUAGAAUAUCUUAUUACAAUUAUUCUAAAGUUUAGUAGUACAAUCACAAAGAAUAAUAAGAAUAGAGUAUAGAGAGAUUGUAUUCACACCCCAAAUUACUUCUCCCACACCCUUUUAAUUUUUUAAUAUUUUUUACACACCACUAACACUUGAUAGAAAAAUAUUAAAAAAUUAAAAGGGUGUGGAAUAAGUAAUUAAUUUGGGAUGUGUGAAUAUAAUCUCCGUAGAGUAUAUACUUGAAAUUCAAUGUGAUUCUUUAUAAGAUGAUCUGUCUUAAGACUUUUUAUAUUAGCAUCUCACAAAAUAUUGAAUGCACCUCACAAUGAAAUUUAAUAUUAAAUAACUUAUUUAUCCUUUUAUGCAAUAACAAUUUUAACCUUAUUAGAUUAAAAAAAAAAUCUAUAUACAUUACAAAUCACUUUUAACGUAUUAUUUAUCUUUUUCAAUUAUCAAAACACAUCUGACCCUCCAUUACUAAACAAAACCCUAACCAAUGAAAUUACAAACAUGUUGAUUGAGAAAAAUUGUUUUUGACAAAUAAAACACGAAAUCGAUGUUUAGGAAGCUUCACAUGAGAUAAAACUUCAUAAUAUAGAAUAAACCUCUCUUAAUAAUAUAGAACAUUUUAUAUUUCAUUUGUAAGUUUUUUUUUUCAUAGGCUCAGGGUUUGUUACGGUGUAACAGAUUCAUGGUGGAUCUCUUCAUGCAUCCGAUGAUUUCCCAACCGAUCGCCAUCUGAUCGAGCUACGGUCACCGACGACUUCUCUUGUGUACGAAGACAUCACACUCAAGGAUCUCAUGAUAAACUCAAAUUUCAGAGGUGGUGGAAUUUCGAUUAUAAAUUCACUAAGGACUACCAUUGACAAUUGUUACAUUUCACAUUUCACAAGUGAUGGUAUAUUAAUUCACGGUGGCCAUGAAACCUAUGUUAGAAACUCAUUUAUUGGUCAGCACAUCAAUAUCGGAGGCGAUCACCGUGAAAAGGAUUUUUCCGGCAUCGGAAUUAACAUCAUAGGAAAUGAUAACGCAAUCACCGAUGUGGUUAUUUUCUCAGCAUCAAUUGGUAUAAUGGUACAAGGGCAAGCCAACGUGUUCACCGGAGUACAUUGUUACAACAAGGCCACUGGAUGGGGUGGGACUGGAAUUUACAUUCGGGCACCAGGGUUGACCCAAACCCGAAUCCUUAAUUCCUAUUUUGAUUUCACGGGUAUCGUGGCUGAGGACCCGGUCGAACUCCAUAUAUCCGGGUCGUUCUUCCUUGGCAAUGCCUUUAUUUCAAUCAAAUCAUUGAAGGGUGUAGCAUGUGGCAUCACCAUCGUUGAUAAUAUGUUUUCAGGUGAUUAUACCGGUGUCCCAAUAGUCCAUCUAGAUCAAUCCAACGGUCGAUAUUUUACUACUAUUGAUCAAAUUAUGGUUGAUCGAAAUGUGGUGCGGGGUAUGGUUCACAAAUCAACGGUUGCCAAGGGGUCAGUUUGGAGUAAUGGGACUAGAUGGACCGUUGAUUUCUCACACGUUCUCCUUUUCCCCAAUCUCAUACAAAAUGUGCAGUACACAUUGCAGGCAAGUGAGUCAUUUCCAAAACAUGUCCUACGAAAUGUGUCGAGGAAUUGUGUCAUAGUAGAAUCAGACGUACCCGUUUCUGCCACGUUGCAUGUGUUAGUGGAUCAGAGCAUGAUGGGUUACGUAUAAUUUUAAGUGUGAAUACAAUACAUGUACAUCAAAACACAUACAUGAUACAAUGAAGUUAGUUUCUUUUGUUUUUUUUUUUCCUUUUGAAAAUAUCUGUUCGUUGGAAAAUUAGUUGGUAAAAGGUUGAUAAAUCGUGGACUGGUUUUGCCAGAAGUCUAAUUGGACUUGGACUCUAACAAUUAAGUAGAGCUUCAAAUAUCUUCGUUAAUUUCAAAUUUGUAACGUAUUUCAAAGUUGUUAGUCCCAAAAGGGAAGGUACUAGUGCUGCGUGUUCAGCAAACUCGAUUGAACUUCUAGCACUUUUGACUGAUGUUGUUCAAAGACGUAUUAAGUUUUGCACUACUAAACUUGCUUGACCACAAUUACCCAUUUAUUUAGCAUAUAGGGUUCAAGGGAGGUUUUGGGACUCAUGAUUACCCAUUACCCAUAUAAUCAAGAAAUCCCACCUUUGAUUUGCUCCUAUAUAAAUCAUGAAGAAAAUCAUAUAAAGGAUCCAUCCCUUAAAUGUGGAUACCAGCCUCUUGCUACAUAUUCACAUGUGUGAAUAUGCUUUUUAGUUAAAAAUGAUAAAUAAAUAAAAAAUGACAUAGGUUUUGUUUUCCAAAUACUGAAACGGUUUUAAGAUGCGUUUGGUGUAAUUUUGUGCGAAUAUAAACUCAAAAAAUGAAAAAAAACGUUGCAAACAAUAUUUUACAUAAAUUUUGUAUCAAAUUGAUGCUCCAGUAUUUUUCAAGAAUAAAAUUUAAAAUAAUAUCAUACAUACUACCACAAUCACUACUUUCUCCACCGCUAUCACUCGUGCCACCAUGACCACAACCACUUCCAUUGUCUCACCAUCACCACCACAAUUGCCACUAUCACCAUCUUUAACACCAUCUCCUCCCACUACCAUCAUAGCAGCCACCACAUCAUUCAUUAGGGGUGGGCACGGUUCGGUUUGGUGCGGUUUUGAGUGAAACCGCAACUGAAACCGAAACUUUUGGCGGUGCGGUUUUGAAGCCAAAAUCGAAAUGAAACCAAACCGUUUUUAGUUUGGCUUUUGAGAAAAAAAUGUACAAUUUAAAAUUUACACCUAUCCACGCAUAAGAUGGUCUCAUUUUCCAAACAAUACAUGUUUACACAUAUCUAAUGCAAGUGUUAAUUUAUGCUGAAAAUUAAUAAAAUAGGAUCGUCUGCAUGUUUUCACUUGGCCACGAAUGAGAUUUGUAUUUAGCAGCAGACGCUGAUUAGCUCUUCCUCUUCGAAAGGUUGCAUUGAUAAGUGAUAAUUAUCAAAUAGAAUAGAGGUGGAAAUGAAUGACAUUCUAGUGUGGUUGAGUCCAAUACUAAAUGUAUGGACUCUAACAAACAACCAUAUAAAAGAUGACAUUUAAUUUGAGGUACAGUUUCGGUUUCGGUUUCGGUUUCAGUGCGAUUUUCAAAAGCCAAAACUGAAACCAAACUGUUUCCUACUAUGCGGUUCGGUUUCAAAACCGCAAAAUCUAACUGUUCAGUGCGGUUCAAUUUGAUUAUGUGUUUCGGUUUCGAUUUCGGUUUCAAGUGCCCACCCCUAUCCUUCACUGCCAUCACCUCUGUUACAAUGGCCACCGCCACCACCACCACUGAUGUCUCCAUUGUCUCACCAUUGAUGCUGCCACCAUCACCUCCUCACCAUCAACACCACCAUCAACAUCACCAUCUCCACCGCCUCAUCGUUGCCGCCGCCACCUCACCACCACCAUCGCCACUAUUACCACCGCCACCUCCCAUCAUCCUCACCAUGCAUGGUCGCUAAUAUCUCCACCAUCUCUGCCACCACCAUCCCAGCCACCUUUAAGCCACCAUUUCCAAAAUCAUCCUUCACAAUACAACCACCAUUUACCACCAUUAUCAUCGUCGCUGCCAUCACCGCCACCACACUGCCCCUCUACCCUGUUAUUAUUAGCAAUUAAUGUUAGGAUGAUAUUUUAUUUAUAUCUUGAAGAUAGUAGAAUUUGUUUAGGAACGUGGAAUAUAGGAACCUUAACGGGAAAAUCUGUGGAAGUAGUUGAAGUUAUGGUGAGGAGAAGGAUAAGUAUUAUGUGCCUACAAGAAACUAAGUGGGUUGGUCUUAAGGUAAAUGAUCUAGAAAACUCAAGUUUUAAACUUUGGUAUUCGGGCACAAAUAGAACUAGAAACUAUGUUGGCAUCAUCAUGUACAAGACCUUGACACAAGAUGUUGUAGAUGUUAAGAAGGUAAGAGAUAGAUUUAUGGCAAUCAAGAUUGUAAUAGGACAAAAACUCAUCAAUGUGAUUAGUGCGUAAGCAGCUCAAGUAGGGUUGGAUACGAGUUUGAAGGAGAAAUUUUGGGAAGAUCUUGGAGACUUGGUGCAAGGAAUUGCUCAGACGGAGAAGGUAUUUAUAGGAGAAGAUUUAAAUAGACACAUGGUCAAUGAGACAGGCAACUAUGAAGGUUUUCAUGGUGGCCAUGGUUUUGGGGAGAGAAACGAGAACGGGGAAGCCAUCUUGGAUUUUGCAAUGGCAUAUGAUCUCUUCUUAGCCAACAUCUUCUUUAAGAAGAGAGAAGAACAUGUGAUCACCUACAAGAGUAGGUCGUCAAAAACACAAAUUGAUUUUCUUCUAAUGAAGAAGGGGGAUCGUAUAACUUGUAAGGAUUGCAAAGCUAUACUGGGAGAGAGCUUGGCUAAUCAACAUCGCUUGUUGGUGAUGAAUGUACAUAUCAAAAGAGAGAGAAAAAGGAACAAAACCUUGAAGUGCCCAAAGACUAGAUGGUGGAAUCUAAAAGGACAAAAACAAGCAAUUUUCAAAGAGAAAGUAAUCACCUAAUGUGUGGGGGAUAGAGAGGGUGAAGCUAGCCAAAUGUGGGAUUCCAUGGCUACUUGUAUCUGAAAAGUAGCAAAAGAGGUAUUAGGAGAGUCCAAGGGCUUUGCUCCACGCCAAAAGGAAUCUUGAUGGUGGAAUGAGGAGGUACAAACAAAGGUUAAGGCUAAGAAGGAAUGUUGUAAAGCCUUAUACAAGGAUAGGACCGAUGAAAAUGGUGAAAGGUAUAGAAUAGAGAAGCAGGAGGCGAAAAAAGUUGUGAGAGAAGCUAAGCUAGUGGCUUAUGACGAUAUGUAUAAGCGACUAGAUACCAAAGAAGGAGAGUUGGAUAUCUAUGAACUAACUAGAGCAAGGGAAAAGAAGACAAGGGACCUAAACCAAGUGAGGUGCAUCAAGGAUGAAAAUGGAAAGGUUCUUGCUAUAGAGAACGCGGUCAAAGACAGAUAGAGAGGUUAUUUUCACAAUCUUUUCAAUAAAGGACAUGAAAUAAGUACUUUUUUUUUAGAGUUGAGUAACUCAGAAGAUUGUAGAAACUACUCCUUUUACCGCCGAAUUCAGAUGGAAUAAGUGGUUGUAGCUUUGAAAAAGAUAAGGCAUAGAAAAACAGUGGGCCUAGAUGAUAUACCGAUCGAAGUGUGGAAAGUUUUGGGAGAGACGGGUAUAGCACGGCUCACAAAGCUUUUCAAUAGGAUUUUGAAAAUGAAGAAGAUGCCAAAUGAGUGGUGAAAGAGCACUUUGGUGUCUAUCUACAAGAAUAAGGGCGGCGUACAAAAUUGCAUGAACUAUAGUGGUACUAAGCUAAUGAGUCAUACAAUGAAGCUCUAGGAGAGACUUAUUGAGCAUAGACUGAGGUAAGAGACACAGGUCUCGAACAACCAAUUCGGGUUCAUGACAGGACACUCAACCAUGGAGGCAAUCUAUCUCUUACGAAGAUUGAUGGAAAGAUAUAGAGAUAUGAAAAAGGAUUUACACAUGGUCUUUAUAGAUUUGGAAAAAGGGUAUGAUAGGGUCACAAGAGACAUUCUUUGGAGGAUUUUAGAGAAAAAAAUAGUACGAGUAGCAUAUAUCCAAGCUAUAAAAGAUAUGUAUGAUGGAGUAAAGACUGCCGUAAGAACUUAUGAAGGACAAAUCGAAAGCUUCCCCAUAACUGUAAGGUUACAUCAAAGGCUCAUCUUUAAGUCUUUACCGUUUUGCAUUGGUAAUGAAUGAGUUAACAUGACAUAUUCAAGAUGAUAUUCAUUGGUGUUUGCUUCUCGCAGACGAUAUAGUGUUGAUAGAUGAAACUCAGGAAGGGGUAAAUGUGAAGCUUAACUUUUAGAGAGAAGUGUUGGACUCUAAAGGUCUUCACCUAAGUCGAUCAAAGACAGAAUAUAUGAAGUGCAAGUUUAGUGCAAAUGAAGGCUCAAAUGAGUUAGGGGUGAUGAUCGGAGACCAUGAAGUACCAAAGAGCGACCACUUUCACUACCUAGGAUCUAUCUUGCAAAAGAACGGAUAAUUAGAUGGAGACCUCAACCAUAGAAUACAAGCUAGAUGGAUAAAGUGGAAGAGUGCCGCCAAUGUGUUGUGUGAUCGUUGUAUGCCACUGAAGCUUAAUGGAAAUUUUUAUAAGACAGCAAUAAGGCCGGCAAUGUUAUAUGGCACAGAAUGUUGGGCGGUGAAGUAUCAACACAUACAUAAAAUGGGUGUAGUAGAGAUGAGGAUGCUUCGUUGGAUGUGUAGGCACACGAGGAAGGAUAAGAUUAUGAAUGAAGAUAUCCGAGGUAAAGUAGGAGUAACCGAAAUUGAAGGAAAUAUGAGAGAAAAUCGGUGACAGUGUUUUGGACAUGUGUAAUGAAGGCCUACUGACACUCCAGCUAGAAGAUGCAACUACGGAACAAAGGUCCAGGGCCGAAGGGGUAGAGAAAGAUCUAGGAAGACUUUGGAAGAGACUCUAAGAAAAGACUUAGAGUACUUGGAUCUAACGGAAGACAUGACAUACAACCGAGUGCAAUGGCGUUCUAGGAUUCAUAUAGCCGACCUCACUUAGUGGGAAAAUGCUUUGUUGUUGUUGUUGUUGUUGUUGAACCUCUUUUAUCUAUUAUAUAGUCAUGGUUUUGUAUUAAAUUGUUGGAUUUAAUGUGUUUUGUGCAAGUUUGAUAGCAAAUAUGAUUUGGGAACAAAAAAUGAACUUAACAAUUAAAAUACGAGGAAACCUGAAGAGUUGAAGAGAUGGGCUGCUGGGCAUCUUAUAUUUGUGCCAAUAUUAGAAAAUGGACCGGUGCACUACCUAAUAAAUUGGUCCAUUGAAGCUAGCCCAAUUAAUGGGCAUUGCCUAAUCCAAUUGAUGUGGUGAUACUUAAAAAGGUGAACAGUACCGAGAUUUUUUCGUUAAAAUUCCCUUUAAAUUAUCCUAUUUCCGUGUGGAUUAAGGAAGUAAUAGAAAUAUAAAUAGGAGAAUGAGACACCAGUUGAAGACCCACCCACCUACACGCACACAUACAGAGGGGGAGAGAGAAGCCGAAAGCAAAGAGGAAUAUCACAAACACUGAAACAAGUGACAGGAAGUGGUUUGAGUUUUCAAGAGGGAUAUCACAUUGCACUACGCGGCAUUCAGGAACACUUACCCAAUUUGGGCUCUUGCAGAAUACCUCAACAUGUUACAAAAAUGGAACUGGAAGUUAACGAAUGGCUAAGCACACCGUUAAAUAGAAGGUUAUGCGCUGUUAUGUUCUUUGGUUUACAUACCAGAUACUGAAUUAGCUAUUGCAUAAUAAAGAACGCUUAUUGUAUCUGACAUGGACUUUCUUCCUUGGCAUUCAAUUACAGAAGUAGAAUAAACACUUCAGGUUUUGUAAGACAUAGUACAAAGCCAGCAUCAAAUAAAGAUUCAUAUGGUGUGAACUGCGAUUUGGUUAAAUAUUUAAUCACUGCCCAUUUGUUACGGCGUUUCAAUGGGAGCGAUGCAAGUUAGAGAGCAGAAAGUACUAAAAUGUAGCAAAUUUGCAGGGAAGACUCGUACAAAUUUAUUUUGAUGAGAUGUGACAUCUCGCAAUGCAUGAUACAUGUUGUCUAUACGUAACAUAAAUAUGUAUAUAUUUUCACAGAUUAUUCGUUCUUUAGCGGUUACAAAUCACAAAAGAAUACAUUUGCAUAGAUUAUUCGUUCUUCAGCAGUUACAAGUUCAUCAACUCUACAGACACAAAAGAAGAAAGGAACAAAAUAUGGCACAACUAGAACUAGGUUUUAUAUGUUCUGGUUGUAUUGGCAAGUCCCAUGGAUUUCCUUUUGCUUGUGAUCCAAGGCUCAAGCGAUCUUUUUGAUAGGCAACGAAACCAGUGUGCGGUAUUCACCGAGAGCCCACAAUGGGAAGAUAUUUCUGUAUGCUGCAUAGUGCAACAUAGCAUUCCUCAUAAAAACUCCCAUCAGUUCCUGUUGGGGGAAAUCGCCGUCAUCCAAUUGACCGUUCAUUAACACCGCAGCAGCCCGGUGAAUAGGAGUUGGAUCUCUCUCAGCCUAUAGCAAAGAAAAAAAAUCAUUUAGAAAUUUAUUUUUUGGAGGGAAUUGUGAAAAACUAAAACAGAACACCUCUAAAAUGUUUGUCAUGUACUGACCUGUCGACCGUGAAUCAGACCCAUUAAUCCGAGUGCAGUUUGGACUAAAUUUGUACUGUCUUGAGCUGUAUAUUUCUGAAGAGAUAGAACAAGUGAAAUAUUAGAAUUAUGCUUUCCUUGAGGUCAACAGGGUUACCUUUUCGUUACUAUUGAAUUUCAUUGGUACCUUGUUUGUGCAUGAGGUGUAGUGCUCUCCCCAGCCACCAUCUGCCCUUUGUGUUUUGAGCAAAAAGUCGACACCUUUGCGCACUGCCUCACAGUUGUUGUAUGUCCUGCCGGCAGCCUCCAGCCCUUUGAUUGCGAACCAUGUACCAUACACGAAGCAGAUUCCCCAGUUUCCAUACCAUGAGCCAUCAGGGUACUGUAUGUCUUCAAUGUAGUCUGCAGCCCUUGUGAUGAAAUUGUUGAUCUCCUUCCUUCUAUGGCCAGGGUACAACUUCCUAAACAAUGUUAAGGCCUGGAUCGAAGAUGAAGUGCACUCGAUGUACUCGUACUCAAUGACAAGGUCCUCAAGAAACU